CUCGCUCGCAUCCCGGUCCCCCAAUGGCGAGCCCCGCCAGCCGGCCGCGAGGCCCCAUUGGCUGAGGGAACGUUCUAAAUUCCACGAGGGCACGCCCACCCCUGCUCACCCGGUUUCAUACAGAUAUGUAGAAUUGUGUGUGUAUGACACAACCGUAGAAGAGAAACUGUCUAGAGAAGCAGAGAGGACCAGCAGGAUGGAGGAGGAGUGAGAAAUGGUCAGAUAUGGAAGUUGUGAUGCUCCUGCCUCAACCUCCCAAGUGCUGGGAUUUCGUGUCUGGUUUCUCACCUUUCUCUUGGAGCAGCUUAUGAUAGUGUGACAAAUUUCAGAUGCCCACAGUCAACCACCUGGAUUGACAAAGCAGUAGCCAGAAGGGCUUCCAGUGUCCAUGACUGGAAUACAAGUUCUGCUCUCAGAGAUGCUGGAGGUUGAGAAGGGCAGGAGGAGCCUGUAGUGUGGGGAGGUGACUUUUCAGGCUGCACAAUCGAGUUAAGCAGCCACGCCUGCUGAUUCUUUCCUGAAUUAGAACUCACAUGCUCUGCAUGUCACCCUGAGACUAUUCACAUGAAGCCUCUUCUGCUGAUGCAGACAUGCUACAUGCUGUGCUUCUUCAAGGGCAGACAUGCACCUGAGCUCGGUCCUCAAAGCUGGAAUUCUGUGCAUUCAUCGUCUAGCACACUUCUGGAAAAUAGCCGAGUUUAUGACACUUCAUAAAAUACCCAGCUCAGCUUACCAAAUGAUACUGUUACAUCUGGCUAUCUGGAGGAAAUUACUCAAUUAUGCACUCUUCGUAGCAACACCGCUGGAAAAGAAUAAACAUGGGAGUUUGAAUCUGUGACCGACAGGGUCCACGUGGAAGCUGUUUAGAGCCAUGGCCCCUGUGCUUCCCAGAUGUGGGAAUGGCUGCCUUCGAGCUCUCCAUCUGCCUUUACUCUAAAGACUGUUUAUGUAAUUGUCUGGUAAUUUCCUUAGCUUUUCUGAUUUCCUUUGACCCCAAAUUAAAGGUCUAUAUCUAGCUGUAUAUAAAUAUAUCCUUUUGUUUCUGGGUUUUGUUACGUAAACACUCUAGGAAGCAGAAAGCAGAGAAGACACUAGUCCUGGUAUGCUGGUACCUUCAGGAGGAUGGCAAAACUCUUGCAAUAUUCACACUUGUUUGCCCUGCACUGUAAAAAGGGCUGGGCACCUUUUCCAGAGUUCUUUGGGACUUCCAACCACAUCAUCCCAUAAAGUCCCCCCAGUAUUUUCUCUACCCUUCCAACACUCAAGCAGACACUGACGCCUCCUCUACUCUCUCCAGAUUCACAUAAAAAGGCGAGUCAGGCCCCUGCUGGAUGUUGACAGCCGAUCCUUGGCAGUGCUGUGGACAUUUGGUGGUGUUGCUGCUACUGUUGUCUGUAACUCUCCAGGGAUGGUUUCUGUUCCUUACAGUGGGCCUUUCCAUUGUCCUGAUCUCAUCUUUCAGGCACGCCAUCUCCAUGUGCUCUCUUGUUCUUACAUUGUUGCUCUUAGUCACACAAAUAGCUUCUCAAGUGCCAUUGUGGGACCAUAAGGAAGACAAGUGUUAGCUAUGCAUGUGGUUCUCACCUAGAGUUCCUGCAACUCCCUCUUCAAUUACCACCUUGUCCAGCCGGUUACCCUUCUCUCUGUACAGUGUGGACAGUCUUCGUCCGUAUAGCAUGGAAUUGGUCAUGGGGCAGGACUGUUAAUAUUCCUUUUGCCAUCUCUUAAUUGAAAAUCUCCUACCUGUUUCCCUGGAGUCCCUGCCCAGAGUUGCGUACCAGGGGAUGUGAAAGGAGUGUGUGCGGCAGGGUGUGCCUCAUCUUCUAGUGCUACUACUCGUGAUUAUCAAGACUGGUGUAGUUUUCUGUUUACACAUGCCCUCAAGUUCCUGAGGGAAUUAUAUCACAGCUGCAGGGCAAAAUGUCAAAAGCCAUGCCAGGGCUCAGUUAAGGGAAGAAAACAAAGAAAUGGAGCCUCCCCAUGACAGGGCACGCCUUCUUCCCAAACAACAACAAACGUGUUGUAGUAAUCUAGCCAGAAGUCCUUUAUGCAGGAAAUUAUAAUAGCAAUGAUGUAGAUGUUUGGAGGACCAAAAGUUAAAAGUCAGUGAUUAAUUUCUAAACUGGAAGGUUAAUUUAGGAAUAUACAUUUAAUAUAUAAUCAGUAAGAAUUCGAAUACAUAUUUGUGGCAAAUAACAUAACUGAGCAUUUAAAAGUAGCCUGUGGCUGGAGAGAGAGCUGAGAAACUAGGAGCUCAUAUAGCUCUUUUGGAGGACCCAUGUUCAGGUCCAAGUCCCCACAUAUGUUGGUUCAGAACUGUGGUAACUCCAGCUCCAGGGGACCCAAGGCCCUUUUCUGGACUGUGUAGACACCUGCACUGGCAUGCACACAUGAGCACAUGCUCACAGACACACAGUUUAUUGCUUAUUAUUUUCUUAUCUAUGUUUAUUAUUUAUUAGUUUUAUAAUAGAAAUAAAUAUUUUUUAAAACUAUGCAUCUUUUACUUUAUAGUCCACACAAUCUUGCUUUCCCAGCACUAAAUCCUUGUCUUUUUGGUUGUGAGCCAAAGCCUUCAAUGUCCAAGCCAUCUCUCCAGGUCUGCACUAAAUAUUUGAACGGACAAUAACUUUUUUCAUUUAUUGAAAAUAGAGGUUUUUUUUUCAUAUGAUAUAUUCUGAUUACGGUUCCCCUCCACUGCCAGUAACUUGAGAGACUUUAACAGCUUCAGUGGGCUCUGCUCAGGUGGUGAAUAUGUUCCUUUACCAGCACAGUUUUCACUCCCUAUAAAGAAAUUAAACACCAUUGAAUAUUAAACAGUUAAUUUUUUUUGUAUUUAGUAAACUUUAACAUAAAACUAUAUUGAAAAGUCAAUCUUGGAAAGCACAAUUGUGGCUAAGUAUACAGGUCAGUAGUGUUAAGUGUGUUCACAUUUUACACAGCCAAUCUCUGUAAUGUUCUGAUCUUACAAAUCUAAAUGUCCCUUUCUUUUAAGAAGUGGUCCCUCCUUCUCAUUGUCCGCCUCCUUCCAUGGACAGACAGGCCCUGGAAACCGUCGUUCUCCCUUCUAUUUCUAUGUGCGACUACUCAAGGUAUCCCAUGUAAACAAAGUCAUGUGGUUUCAAUGAUUUCCAUGAACUACGAGGAAUUUGAUGCAUAAGAAAUCAUGUCUUAUAAGUAUAUAAUAGCCAAAACUGAGAGCCAUAUAGCAGAAACCAUGUUGAUACAGUUUGUGAAAUGGGAAUCUACUUGGAUAGCACCUGAUUACUUUUGAACUGGGGAUUUUUCAAAGGGAAGUUCUGAUGAAAUUUGGAAAGCUCCAGUGAGGAGACAGAAGAGAGGGGAAAGCAGUUUUUUUCUUUGUGGCAAUACAGCAAAGCCCCCAUUUUGCACAUCAUAACUGCUAAACAUUUCUUAGUGGAAAAAAAGUAGUCUUGUCAUCCUAAAAGUUCUGGGAAGCUGCCUAAUAAAGCUCUCAAAAUCAUUCAUAUUACAUCUCAACAAACUAAAGUUCUAAACUAUUUUUUUCCUGGUUGACCAGCUGUCUCUCAACUUUUGUUUCCUGAAGAACCCUGUUUUCUUUCCCCCAAACCUAAGAACAGUAUAAAGGAAAAAGUUCUAACUUGUGAGAGAGCUUCAGUUAUCUUGGGCCCUAAAGGACUUUAAGAGCAGAGUCUUGAUUAGCCCCCCUCCCCAAACCUCCCUCCUUCAUUCUGCCUUUCUCUAUACAAUAUACAUAUGUAUCUGACAUUCACAUACUGAAUAGAGAUUGCGGUCUGCCAUACAGUGCUGUCAGCAAGACACCCCUUACUGUAAAUGCCAAGUUGAUUAAAGUUUCAUUUGAAAGAAUAGUAAAGCGAGUCUGACAAUAGGGAUUGCGCUUAGCUCGUGGUUGGAACUACUGCAUAAGUCCCAGGGGAGCAGAUCUAUGAUCCUUCAGGCUAAAAUGAAAACUACUUGGUUAUUGUGCUUAAGCCCUUCUCAUGUGACAAGAGGAACCAACAACUCAACUACAAACGGCGUUCCAAGUGCCAGAAUAAGAUUGGUGAAGACAGGUAAAUGAGAGCAUUUCCAUGCCCACGCAACAUUAAUGUUGGAUUGGAACAGAGGCUGUGGGGAUGUGGACUGUGUUUAGUGAUAAACAGUGGUUCCAGAGAAUACUUCACAGAAGAUAAGAUGAGUCAUCGUCAAUGUACAAAAGCCUCUGAGGUCAUUUGUGGGAUCUAAGUGGUAGGAGCUUGGGUAAGAACUAGGAAAUGACUGAUUUUUCCAUUGGAAACAUUUUCUUAAUUGUUUCAGGGCAAUUUUAACACCUCUGGAGGCCGUCAUGAUGAUCCACUUAGAAUAAUGGCAAUUUGCCUCUGCAUAUUUGACAAUGCAUAAAUUAACUCCUUCCUUAGGAUAUAUGUUUUCCACAAUUAUUACCAAGUAUUUCUUUGUGUGUCUUACCUUGUUUUACUCUCUGAGAGUAAAGUUAUGCUCUCUGAGAGCAACAAUGCUAGCAAACCUAUCUGGUAUGCCCUUUAGAGCCUGAUCCAGAAUUUAGCAAGCUAUUAACAUACUGGGAGGUUAAACGAGUCACUGAACUCAUUGGAUUCAGUUUAUAGUCAUUAUUUUAUAUCAGAAGAACCAAUUUUUCUCCUAUUCUCGAAGGAAUUCCAAAGGUUAAACUCCUCCUGCAUUUGGAAGAAGUGAUGCCAACCACACACUAAGCUGGCACUUAUUUAACGUUCCUGUCUUAAUGCCAUCCCUUAAAGAAUUAAAGCACGUGGGUGGAUUCAUUGGAAAGUGAGAAAGAAAAGCCAGGCAGAAGAGAGAAAGCACAUUUGAGCCCGACGUAUUCAUGAAGUGUCCAGUUUUGAGUGUCUCUUGUACUUCUAACCAGCAAAGUGCUCCUAAAGGCAAAGCGAAGUUCUUUCGUGCUGACCAUAUCUUUUCCUGUUCACUGUGCCUGACAGCGCAGGUGCCGUGACUUCUCCUGUGAGUGCUUGGUCAUGAACUUCUCAUGUUUAAAAAAAAAAAAAUGCAGCUAUGGGCAAAAGACCUUCAGGCUCUGCUUAACAAGGCCUUCCAGAAUUGUUUAAUGAGCGAAUGAAAAACAACACCUGCCUUUUAUGUAGUUAAUGUCAAAACAUUGCCAUGACACAUACUAUUUACUUUUGCUUCAUUUGUUUAUUUUCUCAUCCAGGAAGUAGUAUACAAUGAUAUGACAGUUGUGAGCUAGUAGAUAAUAAUUCAGACUAAAUCAGUCGCAGUCCUUGUGACUCAGAGUAUCACAGCCCAGGGAAAGGACAGCUUUUGAAAAGAGUAUCACAAAUCCGUUAAGCAUUGACAAAUGUGAGAAGGAGCAGUUGCUGUGCAGCGUCCUUUGAUCAUCAGAACUAUCCCGUUGGCAGAAAUUGUGGAGCCACCCAGAUCCUCAAAGGUGAGUGGCUCACCUGGAGUCACAAGACUGAAACAGAGACCACUGUGGUUGGGUCUUUUCUCUUGCAGGGGACAUCCGCUCUGUCAGCCCCACAUCCUCCAUUAUAACUCAACCCCGAGACUAGAGUUUUAAGGCUCCAACUGUCAGAUGCUGUUUGUAGAGUCUGUCAGGCAGUGAAAAGGGCAGGUGAAGCGGGGUGGGGUGGAGCUGAGAAUAAAGCUGUAAAUUGUGACAAUAGCAAAGAAAUUCAGUUUUGUUGGAGCUUACCUCAGAUGAGAGACCUUUUGGAAAAAUAUUCUUCCUAGCUCGUGCCCCCCAGUCAGACCACGUUUAAAUCAGAAUAUGGGUAAACUACUGAAGGUAUGGAUGUGAACUCCAAACAGAUACUGUAAAAUUCAAUCUUGAAAGUCAUUUAUUUGUGGGCUCCCUUCUCAGAAAACCUUCCUUGUAAAGCCAAAAAAAGCUUCAUGGACUACAGGUUUUUUAGUUACAUUUAAAAUAUUUUGUGACACUAUAUUUAUACCAACAAUAAUUCUAAUAAAAUAUUUACCAUUUCAACUAAUUUUUCCUUUUCUCUGCAUUUCCUUAAUAAAUGAUAUAUAAAGGUGAAAGCUUAAAAUUUCCUAAUUUUUAUUAAUUCUUGGGCUUGGUAGGUACGGAGGGUUUGCCUAACUGAAAUGGUCUUGGUGUUGUGUAAGUUUACACUGGUUUUAUUCGGUUCUGAAAGUGC